UGGGGAAUAUUGGUCAAUGGACGAAAGUCUGAACCAGCAAUGCCGCGUGAGUGAUGAAGGCCUUAGGGUUGUAAAGCUCUGUCAGCAGGAAAGAAUGGUCUUAGGUAACUCUAAGAUUUGACGGUACCUGCAAAGGAAGCACCGGCAAACUCUGUGCCAGCAGCCGCGGUAAUACAGAGGGUGCAAGCGUUGUUCGGAAUUACUGGGCGUAAAGAGCGUGUAGGCGGUUUGGUUAGUCGGACGUGAAAGCCCUGGGCUCAACCCAGGAAUUGCAUUCGAUACUGCCAAACUAGAGUAUCAGAGGGGAUGGCGGAAUUCCCGGUGUAGAGGUGAAAUUCGUAGAUAUCGGGAGGAACACCUGUGGCGAAGGCGGCCAUCUGGAGGAUUACUGACGCUGAGACGCGAAAGCGUGGGGAGCAAACAGG
rnacentral:rRNA from 1 species